UUUAGAAGCCGUGAUGCACUGGUCUCCCCCUGCGGGAGUUGGGAACGUGGAGGUUCCGCGAGUCACAGUUUUCAGAUAUGGCUGAAAUUGAAAACCCAAGCGAGCAGCUCAGUGACCAGGACCUGAGGUUUUUAGCACAAACGACAAGAGAUUCAAGUAGAAAAGCAGGAGGGACUGGCUGACAUGAGCGAUGAGGGAGGCAGAGAAGUCCCACCAUCUGCUGUCAAAAAGCUGAGACCCAGGACAGCCAGUGGUGUCAUUUAGUUCAGACCCGAAG